rnacentral:rRNA from 1 species
UCAGUUGUGAAAGUUUGCGGCUCAACCGUAAAAUUGCAGUUGAUACUGGAUGUCUUGAGUGCAGUUGAGGCAGGCGGAAUUCGUGGUGUAGCGGUGAAAUGCUUAGAUAUCACGAAGAACUCCGAUUGCGAAGGCAGCCUGCUAAGCUGCAACUGACAUUGAGGCUCGAAAGUGUGGGUAUCAAACAGGAUUAGAUACCCUGGUAGUCCACACGGUAAACGAUGAAUACUCGCUGUUUGCGAUAUACGGCAAGCGGCCAAGCGAAAGCGUUAAGUAUUCCACCUGGGGAGUACGCCGGCAACGGUGAAACUCAAAGGAAUUGACGGGGGCCCGCACAAGCGGAGGAACAUGUGGUUUAAUUCGAUGAUACGCGAGGAACCUUACCCGGGCUUAAAUUGCACUCGAAUGAUCCGGAAACGGUUCAGCUAGCAAUAGCGAGUGUGAAGGCGCUGCAUGGUUGUCGUCAGCUCGUGCCGUGAGGUGUCGGCUUAAG